rnacentral:rRNA from 1 species
AGUGAACGCUGGCGGUAGGCCUAACACAUGCAAGUCGAACGGCAGCACAGUAAGAGCUUGCUCUUACGGGUGGCGAGUGGCGGACGGGUGAGGAAUACAUCGGAAUCUACUUUUUCGUGGGGGAUAACGUAGGGAAACUUACGCUAAUACCGCAUACGACCUACGGGUGAAAGCAGGGGAUCUUCGGACCUUGCGCGAUUGAAUGAGCCGAUGUCGGAUUAGCUAGUUGGCGGGGUAAAGGCCCACCAAGGCGACGAUCCGUAGCUGGUCUGAGAGGAUGAUCAGCCACACUGGAACUGAGACACGGUCCAGACUCCUACGGGAGGCAGCAGUGGGGAAUAUCGGACAAUGGGCGCAAGCCUGAUCCAGCCAUACCGCGUGGGUGAAGAAGGCCUUCGGGUUGUAAAGCCCUUUUGUUGGGAAAGAGAAGCAGCAGGUUAAUACCCCGCUGUUCUGACGGUACCCAAAGAAUAAGCACCGGCUAACUUCGUG